rnacentral:lncRNA from 1 species
UUGAGUAUAAUUACAGUACCUCAAUAAAUAAAAAUGUGCUUAGAGAUGAGGAUGGAAACACUACUACAUGCUUGGGGCUUAGGCGGCUUGGCCCGAAUCAACUCCCAUCAGGCUCGUGAAGGCUUUAUGUUGGAACAUUGGGGAUAUGGGCUGUACUAGAGUUGUGCAUAGCCAGGGAGCACGAUAAAAAAAAAAGGUUUGAGUAAAAAUAUAUACUCGAAAAAUAAGUUUAGACAAAAAAAUAAGGUUCAUUUAGAAAAUAAGUCAGUCUCGAGUAAGGUUUUUUUACUUGGCCCAACCCGAAAUUUCAAUAAAAAACCUGUUAUUUUUACUGUUGUUUUUCCAUAUUUUACUGUUGUUUUCCCACUUUUUAUCCUUGUUUUACUAUCAUUUAAUUAUUAUAUUGCUAC